rnacentral:rRNA from 1 species
UACGGAGGGGGCUAGCGUUGUUCGGAAUUACUGGGCGUAAAGCGCACGUAGGCGGCUUUGUAAGUUAGAGGUGAAAGCCCAGGGCUUAACCCUGGAAUUGCCUUUAAGACUGCAUCGCUCGAAUUGUGGAGAGGUGAGUGGAAUUCGUAGUGUAGAGGUGAAAUUCGUAGAUAUUCGGAAGAACACCAGUGGCGAAGGCGACUCACUGGACACAUAUUGACGCUGAGGUGCGAAAGCGUGGGGAGCAAACAGG